UACAGAGGGUGCAAGCGUUGUUCGGAAUUAUUGGGCGUAAAGCGCGUGUAGGCGGCUUGGCAAGUCGGGUGUGAAAUCCCUCAGCUCAACUGAGGAAGUGCGCCCGAAACUGCUUUGCUUGAGUGUCGGAGAGGAUGGCGGAAUUCCCCAAGUAGAGGUGAAAUUCGUAGAUAUGGGGAGGAACACCGGUGGCGAAGGCGGCAUCCUGGACCGGUAUUGACACUGAGGCGCGAA
rnacentral:rRNA from 1 species